rnacentral:lncRNA from 1 species
AGUGGUCUGGCUUCUUAUACUCAUAACAAAUGACAGACUGUUCUUUUUCUUUACUCGGCUCUCCUUAACUGGUGGUCUUCUCUUAGUCCUUUGUCUUCUUUUCUUCACAAACCAUCUGAAUUUUCUUGUGAUCAAUGCCAAAUCCUCAUCAUCUUCACUAUUUUUUGAUUUUUUUGAAUCUUCUUCUUCUUAAGCUGUUGAUUUGAGGGCAAUUAUCUUCUUUCUUUUGAUCUUUUCUUCAAAAAACUGCUUCAUGGUCAGCUCGUGGGUCAUGAGAGA